rnacentral:rRNA from 1 species
UACGAAGGGGGCUAGCGUUGCUCGGAAUUACUGGGCGUAAAGCGCACGUAGGCGGCUUUCUAAGUCGGGGGUGAAAUCCUGGAGCUCAACUCCAGAACUGCCUUCGAUACUGGAGAGCUUGAGUCCGGGAGAGGUGAGUGGAACUGCGAGUGUAGAGGUGAAAUUCGUAGAAUAUUCGCAAGAACACCAGUGGCGAAAGGCGGCUCACUGGCCCGGUACUGACGCUGAGGUGCGAAAGCGUGGGGAGCAAACAGG